CCUACGGGAGGCUGCAGUGGGGAAUAUUGGACAAUGGGGGGAACCCUGAUCCAGCCAUGCCGCGUGUGUGAAGAAGGCCCUCGGGUUGUAAAGCACUUUCAGUGAGGAAGAACGCCUGGUGGUUAAUACCCAUCAGGAAAGACAUCACUCACAGAAGAAGCACCGGCUAACUCCGUGCCAGCAGCCGCGGUAAUACGGGGGGUGCGAGCGUUAAUCGGAAUUACUGGGCGUAAAGCGCGCGUAGGUGGCUUGAUAAGCCGGUUGUGAAAGCCCCGGGCUCAACCUGGGAACGGCAUCCGGAACUGUCAAGCUAGAGUGCAGGAGAGGAAGGUAGAAUUCCCGGUGUAGCGGUGAAAUGCGUAGAGAUCGGGAGGAAUACCAGUGGCGAAGGCGGCCUUCUGGACUGACACUGACACUGAGGUGCGAAAGCGUGGGUAGCAAACAGGAUUAGAUACCCUUGUAGUC
rnacentral:rRNA from 1 species